rnacentral:lncRNA from 1 species
UAUUUCCAUUGAUAUGUUAAAUUUAGCUAUUCUAUAUCUCUGAUUAAUAUGAUAUACAGAUUAAAUGAUACUAAGCUAUCAUCGAAUGUGUUUAAUAGGAGCCAGCUAUCAUCAUCACUGCAGGAUCAGAAUAAUGGGUGUCAGAAACCAAAUGAAAAUUCUCUUAAAUAUAAAAUAGGAAAACUUAAAACUCAAACUAUUUUUUAUUUAUUUAUUUCAGUGCAACGACAGUUUGACGCUAUAUACUAUAUAUAUAUAGUAUAUACUGUAUAAUACCUUCAAAUGGGAACUGAACUACACUUAACAAAUAAAUGAAAAAUUCUGUCUGGGAUAUCUUGAUAGAAAAUAUAUUUUGUUUGGUUGUGAAGGGAC